CAACUACUCCCUCUGUCCCAAAUUUCUUUUCUUAGAUUUGUCUAGAUACAGAUGUAUCUAAUACUAAAAUGUGACUUGAUACAUCCGUAUCUAGACAAAUCUAAGACAAGAAUUUUGGGAUGGAGGGAGUACUUU
rnacentral:pre_miRNA from 1 species